rnacentral:rRNA from 1 species
GUCUCGUGGGCUCGGAGAUGUGUAUAAGAGACAGCAAGACAACCAGGAGGUUGGCUUAGAAGCAGCCAUCCUUUAAAGAUAGCGUAACAGCUCACUGGUCUAAUUAAGUUGUCCUGCGGCGAAGAUGUAACGGGGCUCAAGCCAUGAGCCGAAACUUCGGAUGCAUUUAAUUGCAUGGUAGCGGAGCGUAGUGUGACAUAGUUCCAUGCGUCUUUAACUUCCUUUUGGAAGUAUUGGACGCAAGGAGCUUUCUGUGAAGCCGGCCUGUGAGGGAUCCGGUGGAGAGAUCACUAGUGAGAAUGAUGACAUGAGUAACGACAAAGGGGGUGAGAGACCCCCUCGCCGAAAAUCCAAGGGUUCCUGCUUAAAGCUAAUCUGAGCAGGGUGAGCCGGCCCCUAAGCCGAGGGCGAAAGCCGUAGGCGAUGGGAACCAGGUUAAUAUUCCUGGGCCAGGAGGAAGUGACGGAUCAUGAAGAUUGUUGGAUCAGGCGUAGUUGCCCCAGCAGUUAAUUGGUUCCUGGAAAUAGCCCUCCAUCAGACCGUACCCUAAACCGACACAGGUGGAUAGGUAGAGAAUACCAAGGCGCUUGAGAGAACUACGUUGAAGGAACUCGGCAAAAUACCUCCGUAAGUUCGCGAGAAGGAGGCCCAGUUUCUACGCAAGUAUUGGCUGGGGGCACAAACCAGGGGGUGGCGACUGUUUACUAAAAACACAGGGCUCUGCGAAGUCGCAAGACGACGUAUAGGGUCUGACGCCUGCCCGGUGCCUGAAGGUUAAAAGGAGGGGUGAGAGCUCCGAAUUGAAGCCCAGGUAAACGGCGGCCGUAACUAUAACGGUCCUAAGGUAGCGAAAUUCCUUGUCGGGUAAGUUCCGACCUGCACGAAUGGCGUAACGACUUCCCCGCUGUCUCCAACAUAGACUCAGUGAAAUUGAAUUGCCUGUCAAGAUGCAGGCUUCCCGCGGUUAGACGGAAAGACCCCGUGCACCUUUACUACAACUUUACACUGAUAACAGGCACAACAUGUGCAGAAUAGGUGGUAGGCUUUGAAGCAGGGACGCCAGUCCUUGUGGAGCCUCCUUUGAGAUACCACCCUUAUUUUGCUUGUUAUCUAACUGCGGUCCGUUAUCCGGAUCCAGGACCCUGUAUGGUGGGUAGUUUGACUGGGGCGGUCGCCUCCUAAAGCGUAACGGAGGCGCGCGAAGGUUGGCUCAGAGCGGUCGGAAAUCGCUCGUUGAGUGCAAUGGCAGAAGCCAGCCUGACUGUGAGACUGACAAGUCGAGCAGAGUCGAAAGACGGCCAUAGUGAUCCGGUGGUCCCGAGUGGAAGGGCCAUCGCUCAACGGAUAAAAGGUACGCCGGGGAUAACAGGCUGA